UACGGGGGGAGCAAGCGUUGUUCGGAUUUACUGGGCGUAAAGGGCGCGUAGGCGGCCACCGCAAGUCGACUGUGAAAUCUCCGGGCUUAACCCGGAAAGGUCAGCCGAUACUGCGGGGCUAGAGUGCAGAAGGGGCAACUGGAAUUCUCGGUGUAGCGGUGAAAUGCGUAGAUAUCGAGAGGAACACCUGCGGCGAAGACGGGUUGCUGGGCUGACACUGACGCUGAUGCGCGAAAGCUAGGGGAGCGAACGGG
rnacentral:rRNA from 1 species